ACGGUUAUAAAUCAACAUAUUGAUUCAUAAGCAUGGAAAUCCCCUGAGUGAAACAACGAAUUGCUGUGUGUAGUCUUUGCCCAUCUCCCACGAUGGGCUUUUUUUUAA
rnacentral:other from 1 species